rnacentral:tRNA from 1 species
GACCACGUAGCUCAGUUGGUAGAGCAUUGGGCUAGUAUUCCAAAGGUCGCAGGUUCGAUUCCCACCGUGGCCG